CGGAUACAGAGUCUGUGUGCAGGCAUUCUUUGAAGAAAAAAGCCUGGAAGCCAGGCUUUUCUGGCUUCUCUUCCUGGUGAAGCCGAUCACUGGUCUCAGCUGGCUUUGCACACUGCCUCGUGACUCCAGCCAGAGCCUACUGUGUUUUCAUCGGAGAGCUCUGUGCCCGCUGAGGGAGAGAGAAGAGGAGCCUUGAGACACCGUCACCUGGGAACAACAACCCUCAUUAGGUGCUAUAAGGUCUCCUGGAACAUUGUCUUCUCCGGGUUGAACUCCAGUUCUCUCAGCUUGUCCUAAAAGGAGAGGUGCUCCAGCCUUAUGAUCAUCUUAAGUGACUCUUCUCUGGAAUUGCUCCAGCAGAUCCAUGUCCUUCUUAUGCUGGGGACCCCAAAGCUGAACACCAUACUCCAGGUUUGGAUGGGAAAUAGAAGAAGAUGAGAACACUCGUGGAUCAAGACAGUUUAACAGGGAAAGUAAAAGCUCUGUGUGCAAGCAGAACAAAAAGAGGACUUUAUUUGCUUUUCUCAUCAGCAGUUGUCUAACCAGUUCCAGGGAAGCAGAACCUAAGCACAUGUUGCUUGCACAGAGAAAUAUCAUAAUCAUAGACAUCCACCCUUCCUCUGCACCUCCCUGAGGAUCUAUUGCUGAGUGCUGUGGUAUGGAUCACCUGUCUUGACUCUAUCAGCUCCCAGCCUCAAGCCCCAGCUCCAGCUUAUGUGAAGGAGAAAAGGAAGCAUUUGAAGGAAGAAAGUACUGUUCAGCAAUAGCCAAAACACGGGUGUGUUAUCAGCAGUUUUGGCUACAAAUACAAAGCAAAGCCAUAUAUCUAUGCCAUGUAUCUUCAUACUAGGUAUGAAGAAAUUUUUUUAUUCCUGUCAUUGGUAGUAGUUUUAUAGCACAGCUUCCUGAUUUUUCUCUGCAUUUUCUCCCCAGCAGCCUCUCCAGUUCCCAUCUGAGUCUGUUUCAUUGUCAUUUCAUACGCUAUGUAUCCACCAAGUGAUCCGUGGUUAAAUAACUAAAGUUGACAGUGAUGGACUUCUGAGUUAAGACUGCACUCAGGCUUAAGCAGGACACAGUUCGCAUCGCUGAGUUUUUCAUUUUGGUUGUCUCCAUCAGUAAAACUUUAUUAAUUUCAAAGGUUUAUCUGCAGAAUGAGGACUAAGACUUCUUUUUAGUAACAAAAUGCUGGGUGCUAGAAGAUUUGAAUUUGUCAUGUGCACUUUAAGAAUUUGUGCUGGUUGUACCCUUCACAAAGACUUUAUGUUACAUCUUGUCCUUGAGGGCUUUAGCUUGCAUCCUCUAAGAUCCGAAAUGAAGUCCUAGCCU